rnacentral:lncRNA from 1 species
UUAGUUUCAUUUUUAGAUUUAUUUCUUUUAUGAAUUUUUUGAACUUUCUUGUCAAGGAUGCCAAAUCAUCAUCAUAGUCCUCAUCACUUGAACUUUAUUUCAAGUGGUCUUCAUGAGUUCUUAGUGCCAUAUCCUUCUUGUUCUUUUGAAGGUUGUUCUCAAGCUCUUCAUGAGCAUUGCAAAUCAUCUAAUAGGUCAUUAACAACUCG